GAUGAACGCUGACAGCAUGCUUAACACAUGCAAGUCAACUGUGGCGGACGGGUGAGUAACGCGUAAAGAACUUGCCUCACAGCUAGGGACAACAUUUGGAAACGAAUGCUAAUACCUGCUACUGUGAGAGAGCUUUGCGUCCCAUUAGCUAGUUGGAGAGGUAACGGCUAACAAAGGCGAUGAUGGGUAGCCGGCCUGAGAGGGUGAUCGGCCACAAGGGGACUUAGAAACGGCCCUUACUCCGACGGGUGGCAGCAGAGGGGAAUAUUGGACAAUGGACCAAAGUCUGAUCCAGCAAUGCUUUGUGCACGAUUAAGUUUUCGGAAUGUAAAGUGCUGUCAGUUGGGAAGCGGUACCAACAGAAGAAGUGACGGCUAAAUACGUGCCAGCAGCCGCGGUAAUAC
rnacentral:rRNA from 1 species